rnacentral:sRNA from 1 species
GCUCGUGGUAGGCUACUGGAGAGGUGG